ACAAAUGGCUGCCAGAUUGCCAUAUCAAACAUCAUGCACUUACACUGUGUUUAAACAUAUUCUAAGUAUCUUUACAACAAGUCUAUUGGAUUUCAAAAAACAAUGCAGUUUUGUAAUAUUAUCCUUUGCAUUGGACUCUUCGUCUGCUUUGUAGUGUGUAGUGUUCAAAGCAUCCUGCCUCUUCCUCCAAAUGAUCCAAGGAUAUCCAAUUGUGGACCUGUCUGCAAUCUACCUAAACCUAAAAUUGGCGGUCCUCCUUUAAAACAUAAAGGACGCAGAUUGUGAAGUGUUAAUCAUUUAUUAUGUGCUUUUCCUUUUUUCCCAAAGUUAAUAAUAUAUCUAUAAAGUUUUAAAAGAAA
rnacentral:sRNA from 1 species